rnacentral:rRNA from 1 species
AACGAACGCUGGCGGCAUGCCUAACACAUGCAAGUCGAACGAGACCUUCGGGUCUAGUGGCGCACGGGUGCGUAACGCGUGGGAACCUGCCCUUAGGUUCGGAAUAACUCCCCGAAAGGGGUGCUAAUACCGGAUAAUGUCUUCGGACCAAAGAUUUAUCGCCGUUGGAUGGGCCCGCGUUGGAUUAGCUAGUUGGUAGGGUAAAAGCCUACCAAGGCGACGAUCCAUAGCUGGUCUGAGAGGAUGAUCAGCCACACUGGGACUGAGACACGGCCCAGACUCCUACGGGAGGCAGCAGUGGGGAAUAUUGGACAAUGGGCGGAAGCCUGAUCCAGCAAUGCCGCGUGAGUGAUGAAGGCCUUAGGGUUGUAAAGCUCUUUUACCCGGGAUGAUAAUGACAGUACCGGGAGAAUAAGCUCCGGCUAACUCCGUG